GUGCACGCUUUGGCAGCCCAUAUACUAAACUUGGAAUGAUACAGAGAAGAUUAGCAUGGCCUCUGUGCAAGGAUGACAUGCAAAUUCAUGAAGCACUCCAUAUUUUU